rnacentral:miRNA from 1 species
UGUCGCAGGAUAGAGGGCACU